GACGAACGCUGGCGGCGUGCUUAACACAUGCAAGUCGAGCGGUAAGGCCUUUCGGGGUACCCGAGCGGCGAACGGGUGAGUAACACGUGGGUGAUCUGCCCUGCACUUCGGGAUAAGCCUGGGAAACUGGGUCUAAUACCGGAUAUGACUUCCUAUCGCAUGGUGGGUGGUGGAAAGAUUUAUCGGUGCAGGAUGGGCCCGCGGCCUAUCAUCUUGUUGGUGGGGUAAUGGCCUACCAAGGCGACGACGGGUAGCCGGCCUGAGAGGGUGACCGGCCACACUGGGACGGAGACACGGCCCAGACUCCUACGGGAGGCAGCAGUGGGGAAUAUUGCACAAUGGGCGAAAGCCUGAUGCAGCGACGCCGCGUGAGGGAUGACGGCCUUCGGGUUGUAAACCUCUUUCAGCAGGGACGAAGCGCAAGUGACGGUACCUGCAGAAGAAGCACCGGCUAACUACGUG
rnacentral:rRNA from 1 species